rnacentral:rRNA from 1 species
GACGAACGCUGGCGGCGUGCUUAACACAUGCAAGUCGAACGGAAAGGCCCUGCUUUUGUGGGGUGCUCGAGUGGCGAACGGGUGAGUAACACGUGAGUAACCUGCCCUUGACUUUGGGAUAACUUCAGGAAACUGGGGCUAAUACCGGAUAGGAGCUCCUGCUGCAUGGUGGGGGUUGGAAAGUUUCGGCGGUUGGGGAUGGACUCGCGGCUUAUCAGCUUGUUGGUGGGGUAGUGGCUUACCAAGGCUUUGACGGGUAGCCGGCCUGAGAGGGUGACCGGCCACAUUGGGACUGAGAGACGGCCCAGACUCCUACGGGGGGCAGCAGUGGGGAAUAUUGCACAAUGGGCGGAAGCCGGAUGCAGCGACGCCGCAUGCGGGAUGACGGCCUUCGGGUUGUAAACCGCUUUCGCCUGUGACGAAGCGUGAGUGACGGUAAUGGGUAAAGAAGCACCGGCUAACUACGUG